ACACAGAUAGACAGACAACAUUCACACUCACAUUCACACACUAGGGCCAAUUUAGUGUUGCCACUCAACCUAUCCCCAGGUGCAUGUCUUUGGAGGUGGGAGGAAGCCGGAGUACCCGGAGGGAACCCACACAGUCACGGGGAGAACAUGCAAACUCCACACAGAAAGAUCCAGAGGCCGGGAUUGAACUCACGACUACUCAGGACCUUGUGUUGCUAUUAAUGAUAUUUUACCUCAAAACAUGUACUAUCAAAGUAUCGACAUUUUGAUUUGAAAAUCAAUUUUAGAGCAUAAAGAUCUGGCACUCCUUUUAUCAAUAUUCACGUAUCAUUCCGCACAUCAUAACUCUGAAGUUGUCAAGUACCGAUGGAUGGACGAGCGAUAACCUGCUGCCACCUCCAGCUAUACAAUCACCUAAAUCCAUUCUACUGGUGUGUUUUUGAUAACAAGUCCCUAUAUUGUAGAUUCAUGUCAUCCAUCUGUGAGGAAAUACAAGUCAUCAUCCUCAGAACUUUACCCAACCUGUCUGAGGAUAUUGUACAACUGGUCGUCUCAACACUGAAAAGCUCAGGUGUGGAAUCAAAAGCAGACCUCAAGUAUGUAGAGCAGGAUGAGAUCAAAGACCUCUUGCCUGUUAUCCAAUAAAGGAAACUUCUGGAGGCAUUCAAAAUGGAAACUACAACAGUCGUGCUUGAUCUCCACCCCUUGCCAGAUGACUUGGUACAUCAAAAGUCUGCAGGCGGAAGUCUGUCUUUGUUCUCCAGUCCAUUGCCUUGCUCCUCUUCAUCUUCACUGGCUGGCUUUUCGCCCUUGUCAAGCUCUUCACCAGCUUCAGCACCUCCUGAGAUCGAGUGGAGUAAGCCAGCCCGCCACAUAAUAUCCAGUAAAUGGCAUGAAACCUUUCAAGUCCCAUGGGAUAAAAUGCCUGCUGAAGUGCAAUCAGCUAUCGCCAACAGCAGGAGACCUGCUCCUGACAAGCGACGCCAAAUGAUUAAAAUCCUUGUGGAUGAAAUGAGAAGAUGUCUGCCACUGCAGCCGAUGUGGAGCGGACUCUGACCCUCCCGACCAGUCCACGACUGAUACUGCUGGUCUACCCUUCCUGUGGAUGAAGAUGGGGAGUUGACUCUUCGUAUCAUCCAGCUGUUGAUGGCCUAUUUUGAUGAAAGAAGAGAUGCACUGAUACUCCUUGCAGAUAUGUCUGCCACUGCAGCCGAUGUGGAGCGGACACUGACCCUCCCGACCAGUCCACGACUGAUACUGCUGGUUGCUGGUGACAAAGUCACAAUAAAACGUUGGAUGAUCAGCAUGGAAGGUGAUGUCAUCUGCGAAGGCGUCCAACCUAGCUUCAUCUCAGGGCUUGCUGCCCUUCUUGCCACCUACUAUGUGUUCAACUUGGAAUACCAAGUGGAAGGGGCUCGGACAUUGGAAUUUGUUCAAAGGGACCGAAGCACCAGUUUGACUCUAAGAUACAGAGAAGGUAGGUAAUGUGCAGGUAAAGAUAUGUUGACUGGGUCAAAGAAGGAAGCACCUGUUUGACCCCAGGAUGCAGAAAAAGUAGGUAAUUUGCAGGUAAAGAUAUGUUGACUGGGUGAUGGCAGGAAGCACCAGCGUGACCCGAGGAUGCAGAGCAAGUAGGUAAUGUGCGGGUGAAGAUAUGUUGAAUGGGUAAAGGCAGGAAGCACCAGCGUGACCCCACUAUGCAGAGAAGGUAGGUAAUGUGCGGGUGAAGGUAUGUUGAAUGGGUGAAAGAAGGAAGCGCCGGUGUGGUCGAGGCAAUGCAGACAAGGUAGGUAAUGUGCAGGUGAAGAUAUGUUGUAUGGUGAAAGAAAGAAGCACCAGUGUGAUCCCAGGAUGCAGGGAAGGUAGGUAAUGUGCAGGUAAAGAUAUGUUGAAUGGGUAAAGGCAGGAAACACCAGCUAGACUCCAGGAUACAGAGAAGGUAGGUAAUGUGCAGGUAAAGAUAUGUUGAAUGGGUAAAGGCAGAAAGCACCAGCGUGACCACACUAUGCAGAGAAGGUAGGUAAUGUGCAGGUAAAGAUAUGUUGAAUGGGUAAAGGCAGGAAACACCAGUAUGACCCCAAGAUGCAGAGAAGAUAGGUAAUGAGCAGGUAACGAUAUGUUAAAUGGGUGAAAGCAGGAAACAGCGUAAAUACACGGUCCAGUAGAUGGAGAGAAAACACAUAAAUAGAGAGAGGGUUUGGGGAGGCUUUAGCAUUGUCUUCCUCUCUGAAUUUGUCUUAAUGGGUUUUAGAGCAUUCACUCAUCUACAGCUGUGGUUAUGAUUUAGGCUCACAUAUAUCCUAAAAUUGAUAUGAAUAUUUGUGCAGUGCAUAUUUCUAAAUUAACAAUGUGGGGGGAGUUCUGUAUCGACUGCAAGUAAUUUUCAAUCACAACAGAAUAUCUAAUAUGCUUUCUCUCUUUUUUUAGGCGAUUCAUUGGCGUUAACCCUGAGAGGGGAACAAAGGCUAGCCAGGGAAAGGUGGUGUCCAAGAAGACCGGGAAGCUUGUCCAGAAAAAGGCAGCAACUGUAAAUCCUCACGUAGCCAUCCUUAUAAAAAAUCUCACAGACUUUGAGUGGGGCUUUAUGUAGCCGACAACUAAACACUUGACUCGUGUUCAGUUAUUUGUCUCCAGUUUGAAAUUAAGUUGACAUGUUCUAAAUGUUAAAAUGCUUUACUGAAAAUAAGAAGAAUGCACUAAAUGUACAUUGAAUGUAUUUGAUGCGUUUUAAAAUGAUUGGUUAAUAAAAGCAUAAA